CCAACUCCCAGGGAGGUGGCUCACUGGGUACAUAAGGAAAUGCAAACUGGGCAGAAAGCAGUGAAUAUCCAGCCCCGGGGUCAUUCUUCCAGGGAAAAAGUGAAGCAAAGGUAAAGAGCGCCCAGUCGGGGCGAGGCUGGACCACACCUGGAGACCAGGAGUCUGCGCACUCGGCGUUGGCCUGGGAGCACCGCCACCCCCAAGGCAGAUAUCAGACAGGACCACAGCAAGUGCAUCCGGGACCUCUAGUCGCCAAGGUCCCCUGCAGGAGGGCCAGGAAGAGGGUGACACGAGAGGGCAGGGCGUGAGGAGCCUCGCGCUUGGUCGAGGUGUGCACGGCUCUGGAGAGCCUCUGUGGACACUGUGGCUGAGGUGGCUCUGGGUGGGGAGCCCAGCACCACCAACAUAAGUAAAUGAAUAAGAUGGGUCCUGCAGGGAACUAACUGAGGGUCGCGUUGGGGGACACCGCUGUGAGCUGAAGAGCCUGUGUGGGUGGAGGCAGGAGCCACGCUCACCGUCGACCUUCACAGCAGCUGCACGGAAUGUGGACUCGGAGGUGGCUCUAGGGCCCAGCCAGCCUGGGGCACUAGACAGACGCCACUGUGGGUCCAUGGCCCCUGUCAGGCAGGACUGUCCCCUUCCUUGUCAAUGCCAAGUGGCUUUCUAUGCAGGCCACAUGGGGCCUAUGAUGCCCCAGAGCCACGAGGAAUAAGCCGUUCCCAGUACGAAGGCCGCAGCUGGGGCCCUGGCACAGGCGCCCAGUGACUCCGCAGCUGCAAAAUGGGGCUGUUUCAAAUCCAGGAGCUGUGGAAAGUGCCUCUGCUUCCUCGAGGGCAAAAAUCAAAUGAGCAGCAGGAAUCAGGUUAGCCAGAGAGUGGGGAAAGGGCAAAGGGCACUGGGGGUGAGAGAGACGGAGGGCGCCGAGCCGGCGAGGCCACGCGUCCCAGACUCAAGUUCCAGGCAGCCUCGGCCACACAGCAGGCCCGGCUCACAGCGAGGAAUCGCUCAAGGGGCCUGGGAAAAGAAAGAUGUGGAGGAACACCGUGGACAUUGAUAAGAUCAAGGCAGAUGUGGUUCAAGGGCACCUGGACAGUCGGAUGGGAUGGCACACGGGGUGGGGGAGGCGGAGCUACAGCUGCCGUCGCAGGAUCCCCUGCGACAAAGUAACAAAGCAGCCCUCUUCUACCUCGGGGCUGCAAGUUGGGGAGAGCGCUGGAGACCCCAGGGGUGUUCCCCAGGGCUGGGCCCCGUGGCUUACCCCAGACCUGUGCCUCCCCCAGCUGCCCGGGGGCUGGGAAGGGCCGUGAGGAGAGCCUGGGUGGAGGACGUGCCGCACACAGGCGCUCUUCACACCACUGCUGGGUCGGAUCACAACCAUUGCCCAGGCCCCAGAUCUGAUUCACUGGGCAGGUGGAAGCCCUCACGGGCCCUUCCCAGCACUGGACCCUUGAAAGCAGUCUACCCACCUGGGGAGGUUGUGUCCCCACUUCCGCUUCUCCCCGGAACCCUGAGCAGAUUCACCUCACAGGCCUCCAUUUCCUUAUCUGCAAAGUGGGUAUACAAACGGAACCCGCCCUGCCUGGCACCGGUGGGUGUGCAAGUCCGACUGGCCACCAUCGUCAUUGUCCUCCUGGUGGUGUGUUCCCAGAGCACACAGUUCUGCAGAGCUGAUGGCUUCUUGCCUUCCAGGAAAUGCCCUUCACAGAUGAGCAGCGCACACCAGGGGGAAGCAACAGAGACCUGACUUCCUGCUCUUUAACAGCAGACUCCUGGAUCCUCAAACCGUCCUCUAGGUGAAAACUGGCAUCUCACCAGUUUCGAGUUUCUGGUGGAACUAAAGAGAACAUGUUCUCCCGGAGGCCAGCCCAAGGCGGGACCAGAAGCCCAGUGCACACAUGCCGGACCCAGCUUGGCACUGCCUGAGGCCCUGGCCUGACUUCUGUAGUUUAGGAUGCUGCGCCUCCAGGAUGGUUCAAAUCAGAUUUAAAAAAAAAAAUGCUUAAUGCUCAAAGAGAAGCAUCCAAAAUGGAAUUAUUUCUGGACUCAGUAGCGCACACGUGCCACCCCAGCUGCUUGGGAGGCUGAGGCAGGAGGAUUGCAAGUUCAAGGCCAACCUGGGCCACUUAGUGAGACUCUGUCUCAAAACACAACCAAAAAGAGCAAAGUGGGAUUAUGCCAGGAGGUGGAACCCGAGGCUGAGGUGUGGAGCCAUCCCCCGACCUCCUAAAAUCACCCACCACACGUACAGUGGCCCACAUGAUCUUUCGCCCCCUCCCCAAUUAUUAUUAUUAUUAUUAUUAUUUUGGUCCCGGGGAUUGAACCCUGGGUGCUUAACCACUGAGCCACAUCCCCAUCCCUUUUUUUAUUUUGAGACAGGGUCUCACUAGUUGCUAGGAUCUCGCUAAGUUGCUGAGGCUGACUUUGAACUUGUGAUCCACCUGCCUCCGUGUCUGGAGUCACUGGGAUUACGUGCGUGUGCCGCGGUGCCCGGCUCAAAUGACUACAUCUUUAAUGUUACUAUAUUCCUUAGUCCAUUUUGUGUUUCUCUAACUGAAUAACAUAGACCCGGUGAUUUAUAAGGAAAAUAACCUUCUGGAGGCAGGGGAGUCCCGGAUCAAGGGCUGCACCUGCUGAGGGCCUUCAUGCCGGUUGACCCCGCGGAGCCUCAAGGUGAUGCAGGCACCAUGUGGCAAGACAGAGCAAGGUGGUGGCUCAGCUCUCUCUUCCUCCUCUCAUAAAGCCGCUCUCCUGACCUCUUCUGCAUCCAGUUACCUAAGGCCCUGCCUCCAAGUUCCAUUACCAUGUGACUUUGAGAAUUAAGUUUCAAUUUGAGUUUUGGGGACAAACCCCUAGAUGAGGCUCUGCAUCGGGGCUGUACGAGGCUCCCCUAGACCCCUCCACCACAGCGAGGCAGCUGAGCAGGCUCAGAGCCCCGGCUCCACUCCCGCCUCAACGCGUGGCACUGAGCAAGUGGUCCCACCCUCCAAGCUUCAGCUUCCUCCAGCGGUGACACCAGCACAGCCCCCAUCACGUGCCCUGUGGUGUCUGCCAUUAGCUUCAUCACCCAGGAAGGCCACAGUGACCUGUCCCUGGGCACCCUUGAUGCUUCUCCAAACCCUGGCCACCUUGUCGGCUGGCCACCGUGGUACGUCCCCUCCUUGCCUGCAGGAAGGCCACCGUUUUCCAUGUGUGAUGCGUCAGAGUUAUUCAGGAAGAGCAAGGCCAGCAGCACCAGGUGCCGGGGGACAAAUUAAUAAAGAGAGCGCUGAGAACAGCGGCCCAGACACAGGUGGAGAGGGCCCAGAGCCGUCCCCUAGAAGGCCGGCCAGGCAGCGCCUUGCUGCCGACGGGAUGUGGGUGGUGGCUCCUGGCAUGGGACGAGCUGGGGGAGGAGUUCCCAGCAGAGGAAAUCAAAGGCACAGCUUCUCAGUCUCUAGCUGCAGGAGGGAGCUCAGAGCAUCCUAGGGACUGUGCUGGGAGAGGUGACUCAGGUGGCCAAAGAGAUAACGGCCCCUCAGAUUGCUCCAACCCAGUGAGCUGGAUGGCAUAGACUCCCUGUGGUCAGAGCGAACCUGGGCCACCUUGCAACUGUCCUUGACAUGCUGGGCUGACUCCUCUCUCUUGGGUGGCAUCUGAGUAACUCGGAGCCCAUGUGACCCAAGGUGCAACCGGGGGCCAGGGACACCAGCAGAGCCAGCCAGGGCCUCGGGGAGCGUCCUGAGGCUCCGGCUCCCGCCGAGGUCCAGGCCUCGGGACUGAAGUCUAAGAAUCUAGUGGACACGCAGGACCCCGGGGCAUAACCAAGCUGAAGAGCAUGUGGCUCCUGGUCUUGUAACCCAGGGUGACAGGCAGGAGUCUCAGACUCUUGCUGAGCCUCUGGAUGCUGCACGCAGCCACCCAGUGGAAAGCCACGGACGAGCCCCGACUGGGCCCUGGUGGGGACGCUCGCUUCUGCUCCUUCUGCUAGCCCAGCCCCGGCACCGCCCCACCCCAGGAGCUGCAUCCAAGGCCUCUGGCUAGUCAAGUCUGGGGCUCAGGAGGGCACGGCACAGCCCCUCACCUGAGCACCCAGAGUGGACAGAACCCUGGUGCUCCAGGGCCACACAGUAAAGGAAGCCACCAACCAGACGUCUUGACAAAGGACAAGGGGCUCUGUGGCCCACACCUGCGAUCCCAGAGCUGGGAGGCUGAGGCAGGAGGAUCACAAGUUCAAAGCCAAUCUGGGCAAUUUAGUGAGAUUCUGUCUCAAAAUAAAAACAAUAAAGACUGGGGAUGUAACUCAGUGAUAGGGUGUCCCUUGGCUCAAUCCCAGCGCCCCACCCCAAGAAAAGGAGAGUGCGGGGUGUUGCAGCCGCUUGGCUCCCCCUUGACUCCUGAGUUGAGGUGCUAACCCCAGCGCUUCAGGGUGCCACUCUGGUCAUUGCAAACACAAGAAGUUCAAAUGAGGUCGUGGUGGGGUGGGGUGGGGUGGCCAGCAUGGCUGGAGGCCUUCUCAAAGCUGGGACCACAGCAGGGACAAGGCCAUGCGAAGACAAGUUCUGUUCCACAAGCCCGGGAUCUGCCGGAGGGGCCGGGACAGACCCUGCCACAGCCUCCAGAGGUGGCGGAGCCCUGGCCACGCCACUCUUGGGCUUCUGGCCUCCAGCGCUGCAGUGGGUAUUUAAAGCAGCCAGGUUGUGGUCCUUGGGGACAGCAACCUUGGAAACCAAGAGGGAGGUGAGAGGAGUGGGGUGGCCCCAAGGCCCAGUCUCGAGUCUGCCUUGAACUUGAGCCCCAUCCACAAGGUGUGCCCAGCCCCACGCGUGGAGGCAAGCCGGGCUAGCUUGUGGGCUCCACCCGGGUGCAGUUUGUUUCCCUGGAGACCUGGUUCCCCUUUGUCCU
rnacentral:lncRNA from 1 species